UACGUAGGGUGCGAGCGUUAAUCGGAAUUACUGGGCGUAAAGCGUGCGCAGGCGGUUUGUUAAGACAGGUGUGAAAUCCCCGGGCUCAACCUGGGAAUUGCGCUUGUAACUGGCAGGCUAGAGUGUGUCAGAGGGAGGUAGAAUUCCACGUGUAGCAGUGAAAUGCGUAGAGAUGUGGAGGAAUACCGAUGGCGAAGGCGGCCCACUGGUCCGGUACUGACGCUGAGGUGCGAAAGCGUGGGGAGCAAACAGG
rnacentral:rRNA from 1 species